UAGGGAAUCUUCGGCAAUGGACGAAAGUCUGACCGAGCAACGCCGCGUGAGUGAAGAAGGUUUUCGGAUCGUAAAACUCUGUUGUUAGAGAAGAACAAGGAUGAGAGUAGAAUGUUCAUCCCUUGACGGUAUCUAACCAGAAAGCCACGGCUACCUACGUGCCAGCAGCCGCGGUACUACGUAGGUGGCAAGCGUUGUCCGGAUUUAUUGGGCGUAAAGCGAGCGCAGGCGGUUUCUUAAGUCAGAUGUGAAAGCCCCCGGCUAAACCGGGGAGGGUCAUUGGAAACUGGGAAGCUUGAGUGCAGAAGAGGAGGGUGGAAUUCCAUGUGUAGCGGUGAAAUGCGUAGAUAUAUGGAGGAACACCGGUGGCGAAGGCGGCUCCCUGGUCUGUAACUGACGCUGAGGCUCGAAAGCGUGGGGAGCAAACAGG
rnacentral:rRNA from 1 species